rnacentral:rRNA from 1 species
CGCAACCGGAUCCUCUCGCAGGACCGGAGGCCGCGCGAAGCUCGCUUUCGCCGACGGGUGCACUUCCCCCUCAGUAGGACGCCGCGACCGGUCGGGCAACGCUCAGGCUGUGAGAGCGGCCAUCAGGCGUACGGAGAGCAGGUAUCCGUUUUCGGGUUAUUCAAGGCUGGCGCUUAGCGUUCUAAACCGCGCUUCGUGUCCGCUACCCGAUCGGAGUUACAGCCUUCCGAAAUUCACAUUGCGCCCGUGCCCCGCCACCCGACCGACAAAAUGGUCACGAGAUCGUUGACGCGUGUCGUGCGUUGAAACGCUCGCCCUCGUCCCGGACAGGUUGAACGCGCCGAGUAAAAGAGUUAUCGUUUUCGGUUCGGGAGUCCUUUAAACCGGCUUUCGUUUCGUGGGACGGUAAUCCGGCGGACGCCCGCAAAAUUGGGCGGCCGUCGGCUCCGCGUUUGCCGCCGUGGUUCGCGGGGAAAAAUCUAGCUUUCUGGCGUAAUCGAUAACGACGCUCACGGUCGGCGGCGAGUAGGUCGGUAACCCACCCGACCCGUCUUGAAACACGGACCAAGGAGUCUAACACGCGUGCGAGUCGUAGGGUCUGCUUCCUUAAAAAAUCGGAGCUAAACCCGAAGGCGCAAUGAAAGUAAAGAGAAGAAUUUAUUUUUUCUCGAGGCGGGAUCCCUUUUGAAAAAUUUAACCGUUCUCUCAACGAUUCGCUCUUGAGAGAAACGGGGGCGCACCGCCGGCCCGUCUCGAUCGCUAAGCGCGCGAGUCGUCGGUCUCGUACGGAGAAUAGAAGGGAAGAGAACGUCAAAMAUUCGAUUCUUUUUUUUCUUCGUGUCGAAUCGGCGCGCUGGCGCGUUUUCCAGUCGAUGAGGCGGAGCUAGAGCACGCGUGUUGGGACCCGAAAGAUGGUGAACUAUGCCCGGGCAGGACGAAGCCAGAGGAAACUCUGGUGGAGGUCCGUASCGAUUCUGACGUGCAAAUCGAUCGUC